UCGAGAAUCUUCCGCAAUGGGCGAAAGCCUGACGGAGCGACGCCGCGUGCGGGAUGAAGGCCUUCGGGUUGUAAACCGCUGUCAGUUGGGAGGAAAUGCAUAAGGGUUCUCUCUUAUGUUUGACCGAUCUUCAGAGGAAGUCCGGGCUAAGUUCGUGCCAGCAGCCGCGGUAACAUGAACCGGACGAACGUUAUUCGGAAUCACUGGGCUUAAAGAGUCCGUAGGCGGCUUGGUAGGUGAGGUGUGAAAUCCCACGGCUUAACCGUGGAACUGCGCUUCAAACCACCAGGCUCGAGGGAGAUAGAGGAAAGCGGAACUGAUGGUGGAGCGGUGAAAUGCGUUGAUAUCAUCAGGAACACCGGUGGCGAAAGCGGCUUUCUGGGUCUCUUCUGACGCUGAGGGACGAAAGCUAGGGGAGCGAACGGGAUUAGAUACCCCCGUAGUCC
rnacentral:rRNA from 1 species